AUUGAACGCUGGCGGCAGGCCUAACACAUGCAAGUCGAACGAGUGGCGGACGGGAGAGUAAUGUCUGGGAAAAUGCCAGAUGGGGGGGGAAAACUACGGGAAACGGUAGCUAAUACCGCAUACCCUCGGGUGGGCCCAGGUGGGAUUGGCGAGGAGGAGGGGUAACGGCUCACCGAGGCGACGAUCCCUAGCUGGUCUGAGAGGAUGACCAGCCACACUGGGACUGAGACACGGUCCAGACUCCUACGGGAGGCAGCAGUGGGGAAUAUUGCACAAUGGGCGCAAGCCUGAUGCAGCCAUGCCGCGUGUAUGAAGAAGGCCUUCGGGUUGUAAAGUACUUUCAGCCGGGAGGCGUUACUGACAGAAGAAGCACCGGCUAACUCCGUGCCAGCAGCCGCGGUAAUUC
rnacentral:rRNA from 1 species